NNGUGCCGGCGCAGGAGAGCCAGGAUGUCAGCGGGAACCGCCAGGCGGUGCCUUUAAUUGGGUCUCAGGCAAACACAGAGGACACACAUUUGGUAGACCAAAAGACUGAUACAUCGGACAACCAGACGGGGUUAGCGGAGCAGUGCCCUGGGAUAAGGAAGCGACCUGCUACAGAUGGUAAUGACCCUUCCCCAAGCAGAAAAUGUCUGUCUGUCUGUCUGUCUGUCUGGGGCACCGCUUUGCCUGCUUGAGGGUCUUAACCUCAGCUUUUUAUUUAUUUGUUUGUUUGUUUAUUAUUCAUUCAUUUAUUUAUUUAUUUACUUUUGUAGCGUAUUCUGAUUUAGCUUGUGGGGAGCGAAGUGGCCUAAUCUUGGGUUUUAAAUGCUAUCCGGCUGACUGCUUGCCUGUUUAUUAUUUUUAAGUCAGGAGGCUGAGAUGGUAUUAUCUGAUAAUUUCUCUAACCGAAAACAUGGCAGUUCCUCCCCGCUAGCCAGCGGUGGGUCUGUGACAACGUUGGGAUGUGUAUCCACGGCCUCCGUCUUCGCAAUGGACAGAGAGCUUUGGGGCGUAGAAAACACUUUCUGUUAUGUGAAAACAACCUCAUUCUGUGCCCUUAAAGGCCACUGGGAAUGACGGGUCCGGGAUUGUGGGUGGAGGUGUGGGUUUUUCAUCCCCUACCUAUUGUGCCAACUUCUGUCAGCCAUUGUUUUUCUAAUAAAGAUUGUGUGUUCUUUUUAAAAUUCCCUCCUGCCCUUAGAUUCCUCUCCUCAAAACAAAAGAGCCAACAGAACAGAAGAAAAUGUCUCAGACGGUUCCCCGAACGCGGGUUCAGUGGAGCAGACGCCCAAGAAGCCUGGCCUGAGAAGACGUCAAACGUAAACUCAUCGGUGGGUUGAUGGCUAGGCGCAAGUAACUUACAUCCCGAAUUGGGCUUUCAAACCCCAAGAUAACCUGAUCUUAGUGGUUGCUGGCAGAUUAUAGAGUUUGUGGGUUUUUGUUUUUGUUUAUAUUUUGUGAGGUCAAAAAAUAGGAAUGGGAAAGGCUGGGGCAUCACUGGAUUCCGGGGUACUGUGGUGCUUCACGCUUUCCACGUCCUGACAUCAUUUUUCCUUGAAACAUGGAAUGACUAGACCAAGUGUCCUCGGCAAGUACUUGUGACCAAGGCCCAAUGGAUAGAAGGCCAAUUCCCUGUGAAUCCCACCAAAACAUGUUGGGGAACAGUAGGUUCUUAACUUCUUCUGAACAAGAACUGGGGUAUGCCCCAGUCUCACUUCAUGAGAAUUCAUUUCCCAGGGAUUCAAGUUGAGUCUGUAACAGAUUUCGAGCCAUACGUGGGAAAAUGGCAAGUAAAUGAUUAAAAUUUGGGGGAAAAGUUAGGUACAAAUGGUUCCUAUUUGGUUAACCCAAUGGUUACAUGCUUUUAUCUUUAUCGUUUUCAUAAACUGCCGCUUUCCCUGUUUUCUUACAAGUUUUGGGAACAGGAAAGGAACCCUGUGUAUUUAAAAAAACCAAACUGGAAACCUCAAAAAUACUAAGGUUCCUACAGAAUUUCUGAUGAUAACUUCCGAAGUCACAAAGCAGAAGUUAAAUUAACUCUGCUGGAGUAAGCAAUCCAGGAACACGUCAGCAUGUGUAUGCUAAUUGUGCUAUAACAGGAUGAUUUGGAUAUUUUAGGGGAAACCGUGAAUAGUCAUAAGGGCCGGCAAGGGCAAGUCUACCCCACAGAAGAGAAGUGGAGAUUUUUUUCCAUAUACUAAAAUCUGGUCAAUAUGGACAGCUAAUUUGAAUAAUUCAGCCCUCAAUUUACCGUGGAUUGGCUAUCCAUAAUGAUCAAAGUGCAUAUGUUAAUAGUUUGUAAACUUCUUACUGAUAAGAACCGUGACCUCUUCCCCCCCCCCCAUGCACUCAUAGCUUAGCACAUAAAGAGAUUUUAGUACAUGUUGAUCCUGGCUUUUAAAAAUCCUCAUUUAUAAAAAAAAAUAAAGGAACCUAGAGAUUAAGGUGAGAUUCAAGUUUGUUGUGUUUUUAAAUCAUAGUGUCAUAUAUAUGACUUCUUCACACACAUCUGGCAUUUUUCAAAGGUUAUACAGAACAUCACUAUAGGACUUCUAUAUUACAGCUGUAUACGAAGUGGGAAAAGUGGAUGAAAAAAAUUUUCUGAAGCCACCUGCAACUUGGGACUUGUGGUUUGUGACCUGAAGCUUAGCUCAUCAGAUGAGCCACAGUGAAUCACACCUAUUGGAUUUUGAUCUGGUCCCAUUCUGACAUAGAGAGAGGCAUUUGUUAGUAAACAUUGCCAGUUCAGAGAAUACUAGAAAUAGUGGUAAGGACCUCCCUCCUCAAAAGCAUUCUUGUGUAUAUUUUGCAUAUGACUGAGAAACAAGAAUAUUUUGAAAAAAAAAAAAAAAGUUAAUAGAAUUUUCUUUGGAGAGCAUUUAUAAGUUACAGUUCCACUUAUUUUUCAAAUUUAGAAAACUUUGAUACUCUUAAGUGUUACAGUUUCUUAAUUCUCCUUUCUUUCUCACUGUCUUUGACCCCGAUUCUCGAGACCAGGGUUUCUCAACCUCUGCACUAUUGACAUUUUGGGCUGAAUAAUUCUUUGUUGUGGGAGGCUGUCCUGUACAUUAGUAGAAUGUUUGGCAGCAGCCCUGGCCUUUCCCAACAGAUGCCAGUAGCAACCUCCCACCCCCAGUGUGACAACCUAAAAUGUCUCCAAACAUUGCCACACGUCCCCUGGGGGACAAAUCUCCCCACUGUUGAGAUCCCACUCCUCUAAACAAAAAUAAACAACACGGAGAAAAGUAAAAAAUCCAGUGAAGGAAACGUUGGAUGGAGAGGACUAUAGUCAUCAGCUUUUAGUACACACUUUCUUUUCCAUUGCUCAGGUAUUUCACAACUAAGACAGUGACGAAAUAAUUCCUGUACUUUAUUGGUAAUGCUAUUCCAGUGCUUUUUCUCCUAAUUCUUUCUUCUUGUUUCUUUUGCAGAAUUAAGAGCACGUUUCCUUGUUUAUCAGAUACAUCACUGCUUGGUGAAGCAAGGAAGAUAUAAAUUAAAAAUUUUAAAUACAUAUCGCGGACUCCAUGGAGUGGACAUCCUGUAUAAGCACUGAAAAGCAACAACACAAUAACACUAAAAUUUUAGGCACUCUUAAAUGAUCUGCCUCUAAAAGCAUUGGAUGUAGCAUUGUGCAAUUAGGUUUUUCCUUAUUUGCUUCAUUGUACUACCUGUGUAUAUAGUUUUUACCUUUUAUGUAGCACAUAAACUUUGGGGGGAGGGAAGGCAGGGUGGGGCUGAGGAAUUGGCGUGGGGGGGGUUUCUGAAGAGCUUGCUUCCAUUUAGAGCAAGGAGAAAAAUAUUUGACUUACAUGAAGAGAAGCAGUUUUGGGGAAGGGUUUGAAUUGUUUUCUUUAAAGAUGUAAUGUCUCUUUCAGUGAAAACUGAUAAUUCAUUUUUAAAAAAUCAUCCAAAUUUGAACACUGGUUGCAAAUAAUUGCUAAUUUUUUUGUACAUGAAGCUUUUUCUCAUUUGGGAGCUCUGAUGAUUCCGUUAUGUAGUGGCAAAUGGCUUUUUUUUUUUUUUUUUUUAAACAAAAAACUAUCCUCUUAUUCCUCCCGCCCCCCCCCCCCUUCAGUUUCUCUUAAAAUUGGAAUUUACCAUUUAAUUAUUCAGCAGUUAAGUAAUCCUUUCAGGUAAUUCUGGGCAAAUAUCUGGGGUGUAUGGGGGAGUUCUAAAUGCUCAGAUUUAACCAUCUAGUUUUUAUCAGGUUUGCUGAGAAGAUUUCUUAAUUUUCUUUGGACUUUGAGCUGUGUAGACACAGUCAAAAUAAUUCUAAUACCUUGGAUAUUUUUUAAACAUCUUUCAGUAACUUCACAUAAAAAUAAUGAAAUAAUUUUAAUUUAAAGUUUCUCAUUUUAUUUGUUAAUUUGCCCCAAGGAAAUAGUGUUUUUAAAGGAAAGUGCAUAUAGAGAAAAGCAUACGUGGAAUUACUGAAAUGGAUACUACAUCUUUAAACAGUAUUUUUACAUUGCCUGUGUAUGUGUAUGAAACAAAACCAUUUGAAGUGUACCUGUGUACAUAACUCUGUAAAGACACUGAAAAAUUAUACUAACUUAUUUAUGUUAAAAAGAGAUUUUUUUUUUUUUUUUAAUCUAGACCAUAUACAAGCCAAAGUGGCAUGUUUUGUGCAUUUGUAAAUGCUGUAUUGGGUAGAAUAGAUUUUUUCCCUUCUUCUGUUAAAUAAUAUGGCUAUGCUUAAAAGGUUGCAUACUGAGCCAAGUAUAAUUUUUUGUAAUGUGUGAAAAAGAUGCCAAUUAUUGUUACACAUCAAGCAAUCAAUAAAGAAAACUUCCAUAGCUAU
rnacentral:lncRNA from 1 species